UGGGCUGUCGUCAAGUGGUAAGACACAUGGUUUUGGUCCAUGCAUUCCCGGGUUCGAAUCCUGGCAGCCCAGCCA
rnacentral:tRNA from 1 species